rnacentral:sRNA from 1 species
UAUAAUUUAAUUUGUAAUCUUCUAAUAAACGACACGACAAAAAACUUAUAUAGAUUAAGAGUACACGUCAAAUUUUAGUAGAUCAAUAAAAUAAAAUAAAAUUAUUAUUUUAGUGAUUUACGAUCGUUCUGACAAAAAAAAGAUUCGCGAUCGUUUCAUUAAUCUCACAGUUUUAAAAUCGAUUCGCCGCAAAUAGUUAUUGUAAUUU